rnacentral:rRNA from 1 species
GAUGAACGCUGGCGGCGUGCCUAAUACAUGCAAGUCGAACGCUGGAAAUCUAGCUUGCUAGAUUGAAGGAGUGGCGAACGGGUGAGUAAUACAUAAGCAACCUACCCACGAGGACUGGGAUAAUCUCUGGAAACGGGGACUAAUACCGGAUAGGUAAUCGGAAGGCAUCUUCUGAUUAUUAAAGGUUAAAAACACUGGUGGAUGGGCUUAUGGCGCAUUAGUUAGUUGGUGAGGUAACGGCCCACCAAGACGAUGAUGCGUAGCCGGCCUGAGAGGGUGAACGGCCACAUUGGGACUGAGACACGGCCCAGACUCCUACGGGAGGCAGCAGUAGGGAAUUUUCGGCAAUGGGGGAAACCCUGACCGAGCAACGCCGCGUGAGUGAUGACGGCCUUCGGGUUGUAAAGCUCUGUUGUAAGGGAAGAACGGUAGAUAGAGAAUAUCUAAAUGACGGUACCUUACCAGAAAGCCACGGCUAACUACGUG